GAUCAUGGCUCAGGAUGAACGCUGGCGGCAGGCUUAACACAUGCAAGUUGAACGGGAUUUGUAUGGUGCUUGCACCAUGUAAUGAGAGUAGCGCACUGGUGAGUAACACGUGGGAACAUACCUUGAAGUGGGGGACAACAGUUGGAAACGACUGCUAAUACCGCAUAAUCCCUGAGGGGGAAAGAUUUAUCGCUUUAAGAUUGGCCCGCGGAAGAUUAGGUAGUUGGUGGGGUAAAGGCCUACCAAGCCG
rnacentral:rRNA from 1 species